AUGCUAUUUUUGGAAAUGUCCAUUAUGGUUUUGCUAUCUAUAUGUAUAUUCAUUAUAACAGUUAUGUCAGAAUGAAGUUGGUUAAACCUGUUAUUUUUUCUGCAGCUACUCUCUAGUUUAAGGGAGCACAUAAAGAAACGUCCUCCACUUGCAACGACUGAAAAGGUUCAACAAUAUGUAAAGGGAGAGGAAGGAGCUCUUUCAAUGACUACAAGAUUGAGAUCAGUUAAUGCAAGCAAGGGACUUCCUGUGAACUACUGUUCAGGGUUCUGUUCACUUAACAUUCCAUCCACUUCUGAACCUGGUGGAGUGACACGUCAAGGUUUUCAUCUUGAGAUUAAUGCUAAGGACUAUGGUUUCCAACCUACAGACACACCAA